UACGUAGGGGGCUAGCGUUGUCCGGAAUCAUUGGGCGUAAAGAGCGUGUAGGCGGCCAUGUAGGUCCGUUGUGAAAACUCGAGGCUCAACCUCGAGACGCCGAUGGAAACCAUGUGGCUAGAGUCCGGAAGAGGAGAGUGGAAUUCCUGGUGUAGCGGUGGAAUGCGCAGAUAUCAGGAGGAACACCGAUGGCGAAGGCAGGUCUCUGGGCCAUUACUGACACUGAGAAGCGAAAGCAUGGGGAGCGAACAGG
rnacentral:rRNA from 1 species